GAUGAAGAACGCAGCGAAAUGCGAUACUUGGUGUGAAUUGCAGAAUCCCGUGAACCAUCGAGUCUUUGAACGCAAGUUGCGCCCGAAGCCAUUAGGCCGAGGGCACGCCUGCCUGGGCGUCACACGUCGUUGCCCCCCCAUCUACUCCUUCGGGAUUGCGGGGGGCGGAUGAUGGCCUCCCGUGCGCCUCGUCGCGCGGUUGGCAUAAAUGCCAAGUCCUCGGCGACGCACGCCACGACAAUCGGUGGUCGCGAAACCUCGGUUGCCCGUCGUGUGCGGUCGUCGCGCAUCGAGGGCUCGAAAAAAUUGCCGAGUUCCGGCUCGGCUUUCAACGCGACCCCAGGUCAGGCGGGGUUACCCGCUGAAUUUAAGCAUAUCAAUAAGCGGAGGA
rnacentral:misc_RNA from 1 species